UGAAUACGAGACGCUAAGGCGUCGAAGUAGUGUAUGUCAUACUUCCAAGAAAAGCUUGCACUGUCAUAGAUAAAAAACGCCUGUACCAUAACCGACACAGGUGGGUAGGUAGAGUAUACUAAGGGGCGCGAGAUAACUCUCUCUAAGGAACUCGGCAAAAUAACUCCGUAACUUCGGGAGAAGGAGUGCCUUAUUCGUAAGGUUGCAAUAACAAGAUCCAAGCAACUGUUUAUCAAAAACACAGGUCUCCGCUAAGUCGUAAGACGAUGUAUGGGGGCUGACGCCUGCCCAGUGCCAGAAGGUUAAAGAAGUUGGUUAGCAAUUGCGAAGCUGAUAACUGAAGCCCUGGUGAACGGCGGCCGUAACAAUAACGGUCCUAAGGUAGCGAAAUUCCUUGUCGGGUAAGUUCCGACCCGCACGAAAGGCGUAAUGAUUUGGAUACUGUCUCGGAGAGGGGCUCGGUGAAAUAGACUUGUCUGUGAAGAUGCGGACUACCUGCACCAGGACAGAAAGACCCUAUGAAGCUUUACUGUAACUUGAAAUUGAAAUUGGACUUUAUUCGCGCAGUAUAGGUGGGAGGCGUUGAUUAUAAUCUUGUGGGAUUAUUGGAGCCAUCAGUGAGAUACCACUCUUGUAAUGUUAGAUUUCUAACUUUGAAUCAUUAUCUGGUCAAAGAACAGUUUCAGGCGGGCAGUUUGACUGGGGCGGUCGCCUCCUAAACGGUAACGGAGGCGUACAAAGGUUUCCUCUGAACGGUUAGAAAUCGUAUCUAGAGUGUAAAGGCAUAAGGAAGCUUGACUGUGAGACCUACAAGUCGAGCAGGGACGAAAGUCGGUCUUAGUGAUCUGACGGUACUGAGUGGAAAGGCCGUCACUCAACGGAUAAAAGUUACUCUAAGGAUAACAGGCUGAUCUCCCCCAAGAGUUCACAUCGACGGGGAGGUUUGGCACCUCGAUGUCGGCUCAUCGCAUCCUGGGGCGGUAGUACGUCCCAAGGGUUGGGCUGUUCGCCCAUGAAAGCGGUACGCGAGCUGGGUUCAGAACGUCGUGAGACAGUUCGGUCCAUAUCCGGUGUAGGCGUUAGAAUAUUGAGAGGAGCCUUCUUUAGUACGAGAGGACCGAGAAGGACAUACCUCUGGUGUACCAGUUAUCGUGCCAACGGUAAACGCUGGGUAGCUAUGUAUGGAGUGGAUAACCGCUGAAAGCAUCUAAGUGGGAAGCCCACCUCAAGAUAAG
rnacentral:rRNA from 1 species